rnacentral:rRNA from 1 species
GUGGGGAAUUUUGGACAAUGGGCGAAAGCCUGAUCCAGCAAUGCCGCGUGUGUGAAGAAGGCCUUCGGGUUGUAAAGCACUUUUGUCCGGAAAGAAAACCUUCGGGUUAAUACCCUGGGGGGAUGACGGUACCGGAAGAAUAAGCACCGGCUAACUACGUGCCAGCAGCCGCGGUAAUACGUAGGGUGCAAGCGUUAAUCGGAAUUACUGGGCGUAAAGCGUGCGCAGGCGGUCCGCUAAGACAGAUGUGAAAUCCCCGGGCUUAACCUGGGAACUGCAUUUGUGACUGGCGGGCUAGAGUAUGGCAGAGGGGGGUAGAAUUCCACGUGUAGCAGUGAAAUGCGUAGAGAUGUGGAGGAAUACCGAUGGCGAAGGCAGCCCCCUGGGCCAAUACUGACGCUCAUGCACGAAAGCGUGGGGAGCAAACAGG